GGUGAAAAGCACCCCGGAAGGGGAGUGAAAUAGAACCUGAAACCGUGUGCUUACAAGUAGUCAGAGCCCGUUAAUGGGUGAUGGCGUGCCUUUUGUAGAAUGAACCGGCGAGUUACGAUUUGAUGCAAGGUUAAGCAGUAAAUGUGGAGCCGUAGCGAAAGCGAGUCUGAAUAGGGCGUUUAGUAUUUGGUCGUAGACCCGAAACCAGGUGAUCUACCCUUGGUCAGGUUGAAGUUCAGGUAACACUGAAUGGAGGACCGAACCGACUUACGUUGAAAAGUGAGCGGAUGAACUGAGGGUAGCGGAGAAAUUCCAAUCGAACCUGGAGAUAGCUGGUUCUCUCCGAAAUAGCUUUAGGGCUAGCCUCAAGUGAUGAUUAUUGGAGGUAGAGCACUGUUUGGACGAGGGGCCCCUCUCGGGUUACCGAAUUCAGACAAACUCCGAAUGCCAAUUAAUUUAACUUGGGAGUCAGAACAUGGGUGAUAAGGUCCGUGUUCGAAAGGGAAACAGCCCAGACCACCAGCUAAGGUCCCAAAAUAUAUGUUAAGUGGAAAAGGAUGUGGCGUUGCCCAGACAACUAGGAUGUUGGCUUAGAAGCAGCCAUCAUUUAAAGAGUGCGUAAUAGCUCACUAGUCGAGUGACACUGCGCCGAAAAUGUACCGGGGCUAAACAUAUUACCGAAGCUGUGGAUUGUCCUUUGGACAAUGGUAGGAGAGCGUUCUAAGGGCGUUGAAGCAUGAUCGUAAGGACAUGUGGAGCGCUUAGAAGUGAGAAUGCCGGUGUGAGUAGCGAAAGACGGGUGAGAAUCCCGUCCACCGAUUGACUAAGGUUUCCAGAGGAAGGCUCGUCCGCUCUGGGUUAGUCGGGUCCUAAGCUGAGGCCGACAGGCGUAGGCGAUGGAUAACAGGUUGAUAUUCCUGUACCACCUAUAAUCGUUUUAAUCGAUGGGGGGACGCAGUAGGAUAGGCGAAGCGUGCGAUUGGAUUGCACGUCUAAGCAGUAAGGCUGAGUAUUAGGCAAAUCCGGUAC
rnacentral:rRNA from 1 species